ensembl:lncRNA
GUCAAGCUUCAGAUCAAGAGGAGGAACUGAGAAAUGGAAUAUUGCCUGCCGUAUCAGUAAACAAAUGAUGUCAUAGUCAUCAGUGAUUGCAGCCACUGCCAACAGUGGUGAGCUGGUGAACCCUGAAUGGACUCAGGAUGUGAAACACACAGUACUGGCCCCAGAUAGCUGAGGAAUGUUGCCCUUGCCGCACAAGUGCAUUCCAUCCCUUGCCUUGGAAUGGGACCCCUCUUUCAGCAAAGAGUGAUCCCACAGAGAUGCUGGCCCCACCAGUACCAAGAGGAUACCACUUCACCACCAGCCUCAGAACUCACAGAUAUUUUUGAAUUUGCAUCGCUAAGAGAUAGAAUCGGAUGGAACAAGCUUAGGCCAAAUGAGACAAGAACUGAGGAAGAAGAACCAACCUGACAUCUUGAAGAAGAACUGAUCUGACAUUUUGUUGCUGUGACUUGAGCCGCCUACUUCUCAUCAGCAAAGAUGGGAAACAACCACCAACUCAGCUGAAGAUGCCGUUACGAUAUAACAAUCCUUCCCAUGGCCUCAAACUGCGGCCUACGUGCUUAUCCUGGAACACUCUUUUGUAAAGAUCCUUGAACAGAUCUCAAUGAUUAACUAUGAAUUAUUCUCUGAGCACAACUGCAGAAGGCUUUGUGCUUCCUCAUGCUCCUCUCAAGAACAAUAAGCACCUUAAUAUUCUUUUCAGUCAACUCAGCCGAGGAAAGGAAAAAACAAGUCAGAAUCACAAGACCUAGCUCCUUCAUCCUGGGUCCGUGCCUGCAGGACAAGGAGAGAGAGUUGGGGCUGUGCCUCCAUUUUGUCAGUAAUGCCUAAUGCGGCUCCUGAUACUUAAGAUUCUUUUGUAAUUCUGUAUGGCUGUAAUAUACCCUGGGGGAUGGGGAACGCUGGCCCAAAACUGGGAGCUUAAAUUACAGUACCAUUCUACAAUUAGAUCUAUUCUAUAAGAGACAAGGG